rnacentral:lncRNA from 1 species
AAUAUGCUGCGCACACAUGUACCUUGGAACCCAUAUCUCUCUUUUCAAGGCGCUUCCUCUCCUUCGAUAUCUACAGCCUAUAUUGAUUUCUAAAUGUUUGUGCAUUUCUCCUCCUCUGUAAGGCCUUUUAUAUUUCAGGCGGCUCAUUUAAUUUACUCAAGGUUUAUUACAGGCUGUAGCAUUUUCAUACAUCCCGUUUGCUGUUUUUACUUUUUGUUUUGCGUUAAAUGUUUUGAGCUUAAAAAACAAAAGGCCUACGUACGCUAACCUGCAACUAAAAACUACAACUUCCGCAUUUCUCUCUAACAUAUUCUUUUAUAUUGGAACCCUUUAUAACUUAUGCAACAACCUCUUCGUUCUCCCACAAUAUUCUGGACGUAUUGGACACGAAACGAGCCCGGAGACCGCACCC